rnacentral:rRNA from 1 species
GACGAACGCUGGCGGCGUGCUUAACACAUGCAAGUCGAGCGGUAAGGCCCCUUCGGGGGUACACGAGCGGCGAACGGGUGAGUAACACGUGGGUGACCUGCCCUCAGCUCUGGGAUGAGCCUGGGAAACUGGGUCUAAUACCGGAUAUGACUCCAUGACGCAUGUCGUGGGGUGGAAAGCCUUGUGCGGCUGGGGAUGGGCCCGCGGCCUAUCAGCUUGUUGGUGGGGUGAUGGCCUACCAAGGCGACGACGGGUAGCCGGCCUGAGAGGGCGACCGGCCACACUGGGACUGAGACACGGCCCAGACUCCUACGGGAGGCAGCAGUGGGGAAUCUUGCGCAAUGGGCGAAAGCCUGACGCAGCGACGCCGCGUGAGGGAUGACGGCCU